AUAACGGAGUGGCAUCACUUUGUUACCAAGAUUUAUCACUUGAAGAUGGCUGUGCGGCUGAUUAGAUAGUUGGCGGGGUAACGGCCCACCAAGUCUACGAUCAGUAACUGGUGUGAGAGCACGACCAGUCACACGGGCACUGAGACACGGGCCCGACUCCUACGGGAGGCAGCAGUAAGGAAUAUUGGUCAAUGGACGAAAGUCUGAACCAGCCAUGCCGCGUGGAGGAUGAAGGCCCUCUGGGUUGUAAACUUCUUUUAUAUGGGACGAAAAAAGGCUUUUCUAGGUCGUCUGACGGUACCAUAUGAAUAAGCACCGGCUAACUCCGUGCCAGCAGCCGCGGUAAUACGGAGGGUGCAAGCGUUAUCCGGAUUCACUGGGUUUAAAGGGUGCGUAGGUGGGCAGGUAAGUCAGUGGUGAAAUCUUUGGGCUUAACCCGAAAACUGCCAUUGAUACUAUCUGUCUUGAA
rnacentral:rRNA from 1 species